ensembl:lncRNA
GGGGAAUUGUGAUGCCUUUGGGGAGGAAUGUAGCUGUUUGCACUUUAUUUUAUUCUUGUAAUUGGAGUGCUGUGUCCCUGGAGCUGGGGAGAGAUUAUUCUUUUUCUUGCCUCUGAACUUUCAGUACUGAAAGUCCACAGUGAACUCUCUCUGGUGCCUCCUGUUCUCCAGCCUGAACAACCCCAGCUUCCUAAGCCUGUCUGCACAAAAGAGCUCCAGCCCCACUGAUCAUUCCUGUGGCUCUCCUCUGGACCCACUUCAACUGGUCUUUGUCCCUUCUGUUGUGGGAGCCACAGAGCUGAAUGUAAUACUGCAGUCUGCAGGGAUGAAGCUCUCACUGUCAUGGCAUAUGAAUACAAAAGAAAAGGCUAAACUUAAUGAAUGGCACCAGUGUUUACAGCCACAGGGUUUCCACAGCACUGAGAGGGACAAGUUGGACAUGAGGAAGAAUUUCUACUCAGAAGAAGAGGACUCACCUGAGUUGGGAACACCACUGUGCUGGGAACUGUGAAAGC